GUUUGAAGAGGAACGUGUUCACCGUUCGCAUUGAUUAUGACUACCUUCGGAAGGAGUUGUAGACUGCAGUAAAUUUCGAUCGAUGUUGGAUGCCGUCUCGAGGAGCGAAAAAUUUAUUUACAGGGUCAGGCAAUUGAACUGCUACAUUACUUCAACAGUUGUAACAAUAAUUAGUCAGUUAUGUAGUCAACACACAUUCAUGAAAUUUUGAGCCGUAAAGUUACCUCGUAGCUCCACUCAGUGUGGACGAGUAUUUGUACGAAUUAGGAGACCCCUCGUGCAACAGUGAAAAUAUCAAAGAAGCACGAACUCCUACAAUUCAAUUUGCUUCAGUGCAAAAGAAAAAGAAAAAAAACGAAAGUUGCGUGGGAAGAGGAAUUGGCCGGUCGUGCUGUUCCUCAGUGGAAGAAAAGGAAGUGGUGUCCACGUGAUCCGGACGGGUUGAGCCAGCGCACGAGGAGGUCAUCUCCAAAAGUUACCCGCGGAAACUCUCCGCAACGACGCUUGGGAACGGUCGUCGUCCACAGCUGCUGGUUGUUCCGCCGGUCAAACAGGCCAGUGCUGGUUUAAGACCCAUCCGUGGUUUGAGUUCGCCCACGAAUUAUUCGCAAAGUCGCGAACCAUCGAACGGUGCAAUAAAAAAAAAGAGCUGCAGAACAUCUGGUGAGUUAAACUCAAAGCUGGAAACAACGUGUUGCUAACCUGGUUGUUAUCACCACCGCACAAUCAAAGCAUAGAACAAAGCACCAGAACGAUUGCUGCAGAAGACCUCAUAUCGGGGUUUUUGUUCUACAGGGAUUUUUCUCCCAGCAGCUGCCAACAUCACUUCCGGUGGUAUCUCAUCAUUGGACGCAACCAGUGAGUUCUUAGUCGUUUUACACAAGCAGGACCCGGAGGUCCGGUGCCCGGCAAACCUGCAUGUUCUCAACAAGCACAUUGGCAUCCGGGCGUUCGCCAGCCACUUGGCUCCCUCCAGGUCUACAGCACAGUAUCGACAUUUCGUCAGCUAUUGGUAGGAAUUGGAAAGCUUGGGCGGAGCCCGCUGAUUCCUUCUCAGGCUCGUUUUGUCCGGGGUAGCAGAGCCAAGUCUUUAGUUGGCGAAAUUCGGAGCGGAAGUGCAUGCGACCAUCAUGGGACGUCAUAAGAUGACUAGAAGAAUCACGUGAGUUAAUCCAAUUUAAUCAUGAAUGUAGAAUACAUGCGCAAUGGAAACCAAUUUCCUUUUUUUAUUUGAAAAAUAAU